GUCCCUGUGGAGUAAGUGAGGCAACUCCCUCCCUCCCCAUUGCUGUCUUCGAUGAUUCAAGCACGGGAGAGCUGGUGGUUCGAAUUCACCCAGGGACA